rnacentral:tRNA from 1 species
GUUCUCGUAGUUGAGGCGUACAACGGCGGCUUUUCAAGCCGUAGGUCUUGGAGAAAAGCCAAGCGGGAAU